rnacentral:tRNA from 1 species
CAAAUUAGAGCUUGAUAUAAGUAUUUCAUUUACAUUGAAAAGAAAUUAAAAUAUAAUUAAUUAAUUUGA